rnacentral:rRNA from 1 species
GUCCACGCCCUAAACGAUGUCUACUAGUUGUCGGGUCUUAAUUGACUUGGUAACGCAGCUAACGCGUGAAGUAGACCGCCUGGGGAGUACGGUCGCAAGAUUAAAACUCAAAGGAAUUGACGGGGACCCGCACAAGCGGUGGAUGAUGUGGAUUAAUUCGAUGCAACGCGAAAACCUUACCCACCUUUGACAUGUACGGAAGUUACCAGAGAUGGUUUCGUGCUCGAAAGAGAGCCGUAACACAGGUGCUGCAUGGCUGUCGU